CUGAAAAUUUAGAAAAAUUAGCAACACACUCUUCAACAGUCACAAAGUCACCAUUAAUUUUUUUUUCCUCUCUCAUAUUCAGAUCUCUCAUCAUCUCUCUAUCUCUCUCCGAUCCUUUAAAACCUAAGACGAAUUUCCAUUUCUAGCUCUAUAGACUACACAAUAGCCUAAUUCUCCACCUACUCGAUUUCUCUCUGCAAUGGUGGUCUGCAAAUGCCGCAAGGCUACAAAACUAUAUUGUUUCGUUCAUAAGGUUCCUGUUUGUGGGGAAUGUAUCUGCUUCACAGAGCAUCAAAUAUGUGUGGUUCGUACUUACUCUGAGUGGGUAAUAGAUGGAGAGUAUGAUUGGCCUCCAACAUGUUGCUUCUGCCAAUCUGUGCUUGAAGAGGGGAAUAAUUCUCAAACCACCCGAUUGGGUUGCCUGCAUGUUAUACACACCAAUUGUUUGGUUUCCCAAAUCAAGAGCUUUCCUCCGCACACUGCACCAGCUGGAUAUGUAUGUCCUUCAUGUUCCACAUCGAUAUGGCCUCCCAAGAGUGUCAAAGAUUCAGGAUCUCGUCUUCAUUCAAAGCUGAAGGAGGCUAUCAUGCAAACUGGUUUGGAAAAGAACUUAUUUGGAAAUCAUCCUGUUUCUUUACCAGCACCGCCUCCUGCGUUUGUCUCAGAUCCAUUGGUUACCAUUUCUUCAUCAUCUUCAGUGACAAAAGAUGAAAUAAAGAUAGAUGAAGAUUACUUAUCUGCAACUGGAACUGGGCCUCCUACAAUUUCAAUACCAGAUAGCCCCAGUUCAGCAGGGAAUUAUUUGAAAAACUCAAGUCCUGCUGGUCCUGGUGCUACAACACGAAAGGGUGGCAUCCAUGUUGAAAGGCAGAAUUCGGAAAUUUCAUACUAUGCAGAUGAUGAAGAUGGGAAUCGUAAAAAGUACAGUCGAAGGGGUGAGUGGAAACUUUAUGUAUUUAGGCAAGUUCAAAUGACAGUGGAGCUUGUGAGAUUUUUACAGGAGCAACUUUACCAGCUUAAGAUUAGAUUCUGUUUACCAUGCCUACUAUGGUCGUCAAAAUAUCAUAUGGAUGUCCAUUCCGCCAUAAGUUCCUUAGAGCAUUGCUUCCGUUCUGGUCAAGUGCAUUACCAACUUUACCGGUAACUGCACCUCCACAUAAGGAUGCAUCAAACACAGAUGAUGUCUCGGAAGCUCGUGUGAGGCAUCACAGACCAUCAAGAAUGGAUCCAAGAAAAAUCCUUCUUUUUAUAGCAAUCAUGGCCUGCAUGGCAACUAUGGGUAUACUUUAUUACAGAAUUGCCCAACGGGGUCUUGGGGAGGAGCAGCCAGAUGAUGAGCAGUAGUAAUUCUUACUCAAGGUUGUGACAGAAUUUUAAUGAUCAUUUAUUGUACCUGUAUAUGCAUGCCUGAUGGUUAAUGGUGAUUUUACUGCUGCUUUUUGUGUGUGGCUCCUCCCAUUUUUGCAUCAAUUGCUUGUUUAUGAAUGAAAUGUAAAAUGGGAUGUAAGAUAGUUAUUUCAUAAUGUCAGUUGUAGAAAAACGUUGCAUAUUCCA